ACGUAGGGGGCGAGCGUUGUCCGGAAUGACUGGGCGUAAAGGGCGUGUAGGCGGCCGAUUAAGUCCGGAGUGAAAGUCCUGCUUUCAAGGUGGGAAUUGCUUUGGAAACUGGUUGGCUUGAGUGCGGAAGAGGUAAGUGGAAUUCCCAGUGUAGAGGUGAAAUGCGUAGAGAUCGGGAGGAACACCAGUGGCGAAGGCGACUUACUGGCCCGUUACUGACGCUCAGGCGCGAAAGCGUGGGGAGCAAACAG
rnacentral:rRNA from 1 species